rnacentral:misc_RNA from 1 species
UCCGGUUUGUCGCCGGCAGUCUCAUUAGAGUGCCCAACUGAAUGUAGCAACUAAUGACAAGGGUUGCGCUCGUUGCGGGACUUAACCCAACAUCUCACGACACGAGCUGACGACAGCCAUGCAGCACCUGUGUUCAGGUUCUCUUUCGAGCACGAAGCCAUCUCUGGCAACUUCCUGACAUGCCAAGGGUAGGUAAGGUUUUUCGCGUUGCAUCGAAUUAAUCCACAUCAUCCACCGCUUGUGCGGGCCCCCGUCAAUUCCUUUGAGUUUCAACCUUGCGAUUGUACUUCCCAGGUGGAAUACUUAAUGCGUUAGCUUGGAUACUGACCUUAAAAAAGACCAACAUCUAGUAUUCAUCGUUUAGAGUGUGGACUA